AUGUCUCACCAGAUCAGAACACUAUGUCUUUUUUUCAUGUGCAAUUGUCUUAAAGUAAAGAAAAUAAGAAAAAAACACUAAAAUUUAAGUAAAAAAUAAGAAAAAAAGGUGAAAUAAUAUAAAUAAUUGUAUAAAUGUCUCACCAGAUCAGAACACUAAGUCUUUUUCAUGUGCAAUUGUCUUAAAACAAAGAAAAUAAGAAAAAAAACACUAAGAUAUAAGUAAAAAAUAAGAAAAAAAGGUGAAAUACUUUAAAGAAUUGUAUAAAUGUCUCACCAGAUCUGUCCACUAUGUCUUUUUUUGUGCAAUUGUCUUAAAACAAAGAAAAUUAGAUAAAAACACUAAGAUAUAAGUAAAAAAUAAGAAAAAAAGGUGAAAUACUAUAAAGAAUUGUAUAAAUGCUAACACUAAUUUACUUUAUUAUAUCUUUAUGUGCAACUUUAAGGGAACUGGCUAUCAAGUGGGCCUUUUUUCCCAUUUUUUUGUUCUCUUUGGCCUGUCUCCUCUUGCAUAAAAAAAAAAUACUCAAAACAGAAAAUAAGAAAAAAAAAAACACUUAAAACUAGAGAAAUAUAUUAAAAAGGUGCUUAAUUUUAUGUUUUUGUAUAUUUGUGAAGAAUUUUAAAAGCUCGCUGAUGAAAUGUUAGAAAUAAGAUAGUGAAUGAAGUAAACAAUAGGAAAUAAAGAUGAAUAGAUAAAGAUAGAUAGAUAAAGAUAAAGAUAGAUAAAGAUAAAGAGAAAACAGUCAUUCGGUUGUAUUUUUAUGUUAGAAAGUUAGGUAAAUUUUUAGUGUUGCAGGAAUGAGCAUAUUGUGUGUGUGUGUGUGUGUGUGUGUGUGUGUGUGUGUGUGUGUGUGUGUGUGUGUGUGUGUGUGUGUUAGCCCUGUGUUGUGUUGUGUUGGGAGUGUUUCAAAUGUGUUCAGGUCUCUUUUAUUGAGUUUCAUUGUUUUCCAAGAGAGAGAGAGAGAGAGAGAGACUAGGUCACCCCAUCAUUCUUUUAUUAACUUGACAUUUUAUAAUCCAGUGAUAGUUUAAUAGAAAUGGAAGUUUUGGUUUGCGUAUUGUCUUACGAGAGAGAGAGAGCGAGCGAGCGAGCAUAAGUCACUCAUAGUCACUCAUUACUGUGUGUGUGUGUGUGUGUGUUUAUAUAUUCUUUCCUCCUCUUUUUCCUUCAUAAUUAACUCCUGUUCUUUAUUUUUAGCAUCAAAUAAAUACAAAACACUACCAUUAAUGUAAAUAUAUUAAAAGAAAAAUAAAUAAACUCUAACACCUUUUUUAUACAUCAGAGACCUUGUUUUUUAUAUACGGUAGGCCUAUAGGCUUAUACUAAUUGCCAUCCUCUGAUAUUAUGCCAAAAAAGUGUAGGUUAUUUUUAGUGUACUUUGUAUAGUAUUGUAUUUAAGGAGAGAAAAUAUAUGACAUGCAAUAUUGUUUAAAAA